rnacentral:rRNA from 1 species
AGAGUUUGAUCCUGGCUCAGAGCGAACGCUGGCGGCAGGCCUAACACAUGCAAGUCGAGCGGGCCCUUUCGGGGGUCAGCGGCAGACGGGUGAGUAACGCGUGGGAACGUACCCUUCGGUUCGGAACAACUCCGGGAAACUGGAGCUAAUACCGGAUACGUCCGAGAGGAGAAAGAUUUAUCGCCGAAGGAUCGGCCCGCGUCUGAUUAGCUAGUUGGUGAGGUAACGGCUCACCAAGGCGACGAUCAGUAGCUGGUCUGAGAGGAUGAUCAGCCACACUGGGACUGAGACACGGCCCAGACUCCUACGGGAGGCAGCAGUGGGGAAUAUUGGACAAUGGGCGCAAGCCUGAUCCAGCCAUGCCGCGUGAGUGAUGAAGGCCCUAGGGUUGUAAAGCUCUUUCACCCACGACGAUAAUGACGGUAGUGGGAGAAGAAGCCCCGGCUAACUUCGUGCCAGCAGCCGCGGUAAUACGAAGGGGGCUAGCGUUGCUCGGAAUCACUGGGCGUAAAGGGCGCGUAGGCGGCCGAUCAAGUCAGGGGUGAAAGCCUGUGGCUCAACCACAGAAUGGCCUUUGAUACUGUUCGGCUCGAGACCGGAAGAGGUUGGUGGAACUGCGAGUGUAGAGGUGAAAUUCGUAGAUAUUCGCAAGAACACCGGUGGCGAAGGCGGCCAACUGGUCCGGUUCUGNNGCUGANNNNCGAAAGCGUGGGGAGCAAACAGGAUUAGAUACCCUAGUAGUCC